rnacentral:rRNA from 1 species
CAGGCCUAACACAUGCAAGUCGAGCGGAUGACGGGAGCUUGCUCCCGAAUUCAGCGGCGGACGGGUGAGUAAUGCCUAGGAAUCUGCCUGGUAGUGGGGGACAACGUCUCGAAAGGGACGCUAAUACCGCAUACGUCCUACGGGAGAAAGCAGGGGACCUUCGGGCCUUGCGCUAUCAGAUGAGCCUAGGUCGGAUUAGCUAGUUGGUGAGGUAAUGGCUCACCAAGGCGACGAUCCGUAACUGGUCUGAGAGGAUGAUCAGUCACACUGGAACUGAGACACGGUCCAGACUCCUACGGGAGGCAGCAGUGGGGAAUAUUGGACAAUGGGCGAAAGCCUGAUCCAGCCAUGCCGCGUGUGUGAAGAAGGUCUUCGGAUUGUAAAGCACUUUAAGUUGGGAGGAAGGGCAGUAACUUAAUACUUUACUGUUUUGACGUUACCGACAGAAUAAGCACCGGCUAACUCUGUGCCAGCAGCCGCGGUAAUACAGAGGGUGCAAGCGUUAAUCGGAAUUACUGGGCGUAAAGCGCGCGUAGGUGGUUUGUUAAGUUGGAUGUGAAAGCCCCGGGCUCAACCUGGGAACUGCAUUCAAAACUGACAAGCUAGAGUAUGGUAGAGGGUGGUGGAAUUUCCUGUGUAGCGGUGAAAUGCGUAGAUAUAGGAAGGAACACCAGUGGCGAAGGCGACCACCUGGACUGA